UCUGUGUGUUGUGUUAUUUAUAAACUAGCCAAUGCUUACGCCGCAUAUGCAUCAAUGGAGAUUUUGAUCCUGUUGUAGAGAUGGUCGUUGAUAACGAAAGGAAAAUUUUAUACACUCGUACCAAGAAGGCGGAACUCGAGGCCUAUUUUCUUGGGAUGAACGGUGAAAGCCUUAUUGAGAAGUUGGGGCUAGUAGAUAAUCUGUUAGAUCACAGCCCACACAAAGCAGAUGCAAGCGGAACUAACAAGCUAUCUAUAGUUUGCAUUUCGCCGCUGGAAUCCAGGUGGUCGGAUGCUCACCUUGUUGCUAUAUUAUCAGAUUAGUAGACACAGUUAAGAUUUACCUCUCCACCUCAUCAAAUGGGACAACGAGUCUCGGAAUUGCCUGAGAGUAGUUACACCUAAGUACCCUCCUAACUUCGGUCUCUCGUCGGCAAAGGCUGAAAUCGAGUGUGGCUUGUCGGAAGAGAAACUCUCUCAGGUUUGUUUAAGCAACUGUCAUAACUCGCUUGGAGACUCCACCAUUGUGUCAAGCACAACAUCUCGAUAUGUGCCGAGUCAAUUUAUGAGGAUGCGGGUGAAUAGUGAAAGUAUAAGGAGGCAAGAAGCGGGGAUGCUUGAUGCGAUUGAGAAGAGGAAGCUUGACAUGUCGAAAAAGAUGAUGUAAAACGGUACAAACCAACGGUCAAUAAAUCUUAAUUAUGCAAUUUUCUUGUCUGUUAACAGUAAUCAUCAACUCGUCUAUCUCGCUUAAGUAUGUUUAUGUGUUAAGUGUUGUAACUUGCAACGUUAUUAUGU